rnacentral:piRNA from 1 species
UGUAUGGUCUGGGUCUGGGACAAGC